rnacentral:rRNA from 1 species
GAUGAACGCUGGCGGCGUGCCUAACACAUGCAAGUCGAGCGAUUCUCUUCGGAGAAGAGCGGCGGACGGGUGAGUAACGCGUGGGUAACCCGCCCUGUACACACGGAUAACAUACCGAAAGGUAUGCUAAUACGCGAUACUAUACUUUUAUCGCAGUGUAGAAUUAUCAAAGCUUUUGCGGUACAGGAUGGACCCGCGGCUGAUUAGCUAGUUGGUAAGGUAACGGCUUACCAAGGCGACGAUCAGUCGCCGACCUGAGAGGGUGAUCGGCCACAUUGGAACUGAGACACGGUCCAAACUCCUACGGGAGGCAGCAGUGGGGAAUAUUGCACAAUGGGCGAAAGCCUGAGGCAGCAACGCCGCGUGAGCGAUGAAGGCCUUCGGGUCGUAAAGCUCUGUCCUCAAGGAAGAUAAUGACGGUACUUGAGGAGGAAGCCCCGGCUAACUACGUGCCAGCCGCCGCAGUAA